rnacentral:rRNA from 1 species
GAUGAACGCUAGCGGCAGGCCUAAUACAUGCAAGUCGAACGGGUGGUCGCAAGACCCCUAGUGGCGCACGGGUGCGUAACGCGUAACCAACCUGCCCCGAUCUGGGGGAUAGCCCGCCGAAAGGCGGAUUAAUACCGCAUAUACCCGCAGCCUGGCAUCAGGCAACGGGGAAAGAUUUAUUGGAUCGGGAUGGGGUUGCGUGACAUUAGCUAGUUGGCGGGGUAAGGGCCCACCAAGGCGACGAUGUCUAGGGGACCUGAGAGGGUGAUCCCCCACACUGGCACUGAGAUACGGGCCAGACUCCGACGGGAGGCAGCAGGAGGGAAUAUGGGGCAAUGGGCGAGAGCCUGACCCAGCCAUGCCGCGUGCCGGAUGAAGGCCUUCUGGGGUGUAAACGGCUUUUCUCAGGGAAGAAAAAGACCUGGCGAGGUACACUGACGGUACCUGAGGAAUAAGCACCGGCUAACUCCGUG